GAUGGACGCUGGCGGCGUGCCUAAUACAUGCAAGUCGAGCGAACAGAUGAGGAGCUUGCUCCUCUGACGUUAGCGGCGGACGGGUGAGUAACACGUGGAUAACCUACCUAUAAGACUGGGAUAACUUCGGGAAACCGGAGCUAAUACCGGAUAAUAUAUUGAACCGCAUGGUUCAAUAGUGAAAGACGGUUUUGCUGUCACUUAUAGAUGUAUCCGCGCCGCAUUAGCUAGUUGGUAAGGUAACGGCUUACCAAGGCAACGAUGCGUAGCCGACCUGAGAGGGUGAUCGGCCACACUGGAACUGAGACACGGUCCAGACUCCUACGGGAGGCAGCAGUAGGGAAUCUUCCGCAAUGGGCGAAAGCCUGACGGAGCAACGCCGCGUGAGUGAUGAAGGUCUUCGGAUCGUAAAACUCUGUUAUUAGGGAAGAACAAAUGUGUAAGUAACUAUGCACGUCUUGACGGUACCUAAUCAGAAAGCCACGGCUAACUACGUG
rnacentral:rRNA from 1 species